rnacentral:rRNA from 1 species
GACGAACGCUGGCGGCGUGCCUAAUACAUGCCAGUUGAGCGCUGAAGGUUGGUACUUGUACCGACUGGAUGAGCAGCGAACGGGUGAGUAACGCGUGGGGAAUCUGCCUUUGAGCGGGGGACAACAUUUGGAAACGAAUGCUAAUACCGCAUAAAAACUUUAAACACAAGUUUUAAGUUUGAAAGAUGCAAUUGCAUCACUCAAAGAUGAUCCCGCGUUGUAUUAGCUAGUUGGUGAGGUAAAGGCUCACCAAGGCGAUGAUACAUAGCCGACCUGAGAGGGUGAUCGGCCACACUGGGACUGAGACACGGCCCAAACUCCUACGGGAGGCAGCAGUAGGGAAUCUUCGGCAAUGGACGAAAGUCUGACCGAGCAACGCCGCGUGAGUGAAGAAGGUUUUCGGAUCGUAAAACUCUGUUGGUAGAGAAGAACGUUGGUGAGAGUGGAAAGCUCAUCAAGUGACGGUAACUACCCAGAAAGGGACGGCUAACUACGUG